UGGGGAAUCUUGCGCAAUGGUCGAAAGACUGACGCAGCGACGCCGCGUGCGGGAGGAAGCCCUUCGGGGUGUAAACCGCUGUUACUCGGGACGAACUUCCCGUAUAGACGGGAUUAACGGUACCGGGGGAGGAAGCACCGGCUAACUCUGUGCCAGCAGCCGCGGUAAUACAGAGGGUGCGAGCGUUGUCCGGAAUCACUGGGCGUAAAGGGCGCGUAGGCGGCUUCUCACGCGUGCGGUGAAAGCCCGGGGCUUAACUCCGGGUCUGCCGUGCGAACGGGGAGGCUUGAGUCUGGUAGAGGUCGAUGGAAUUCCGGGUGUAGCGGUGGAAUGCGUAGAGAUCCGGAAGAACACCGGUGGCGAAGGCGGUCGACUGGGCCAGAACUGACGCUGAGGCGCGACAGCGUGGGGAGCAAACAGG
rnacentral:rRNA from 1 species